rnacentral:rRNA from 1 species
CGCGUAGGCGGGUCGGCAAGUCUGCUGUGAAAGCCCGGGGCUCAACCCCGGAGGGUCGGUGGAUACUGUCGGUCUUGAAGGUGAUAGGGGGAGAUGGAAUUACCGGUGUAGCGGUGAAAUGCGUAGAUAUCGGUAGGAACACCAGUGGCGAAGGCGGUCUCCUGGGUCACUCUUGACGCUGAGGCGCGAAAGCUGGGGGAGCGAACG